UAUAAAGUAUUUUAUUUAAAAUAAAGUUUUGAAAAAGCUUAGAAGAAUAAUGUCUUACUCCUUUAUGU
rnacentral:tRNA from 1 species